CCUCUGCUCACCUGGAUCCCAGCCCCCCCCACUAGGCCCCUGUGUUCACCUGGGUGCCAGCCCCACCCAGGCCCCUGUGCUCACCUGGGCCCCAGCACCCUCCAGGUGCUCACCUGGGUCCCAGCACACCCCCAGGCCCCUGUGCUCACCUGGGUCCCAAUACCCCCCUAGGCCCCUGUGCUCACCUGGGUCCCAGCCCCUCCCAGGCUCCUGUGCUCACCUGGGUCCCAGCCACCUCUCCUCUGGCUCCCCUGGCUCCAGGACUGUCUCGUCACCCAGGCCUGGCUGCUGCCCCACUGUGCCUCGGAGCCCCAGGACUAUACCCAGCUAGGAUUCAGCCAGGGCUGAAGGCCCCUGAGGCCCGGGGUGGCAACCUCCCCAAUGGCCCAUGGGUCCCUCAUGGCAUUCACAUCUCAGUGUCCUGAGAGUGUCCUGUGGGGUAAGUAGGAUCCUGCUGAGGUGACAGGCUCAGAGUGAGACCCUGUCUCAGA